AUUGAACGCUGGCGGCAUGCCUUACACAUGCAAGUCGAACGGCAGCACGGGUGCUUGCACCUGGUGGCGAGUGGCGAACGGGUGAGUAAUAUAUCGGAACGUACCUUAUUGUGGGGGAUAACGCAGCGAAAGCUGUGCUAAUACCGCAUAAUCCCUAAGGGGGAAAGCGGGGACCGUAAGGCCUCGCGCAAUUAGAGCGGCCGAUACCUGAUUAGCUAGUUGGUGAGGUAAAGGCUCACCAAGGCAACGAUCAGUAGCUGGUCUGAGAGGACGAUCAGACACACUGGGACAGAGACACGGCCCAGACUCCUACGGGAGGCAGCAGUGGGGAAUUUUGGACAAUGGGGGCAACCCUGAUCAAGCAAUGCCGCGUGAGUGAAGAAGGCCUUCGGGUUGUAAAGCUCUUUUGUCAGGGAAGAAACAGCAGCUCUAACACAGUUUGCGAAUGACGGUACCUGAAGAAUAAGCACCGGCUAACUACGUGCCAGCAGCCGCCGUAA
rnacentral:rRNA from 1 species